rnacentral:rRNA from 1 species
AACGUAGGACGCAAGCGUUAUCCGGAGUUACUGGGCGUAAAGCGCGGGCAGGCGGCUCGAUGCGUCUGAUGUGAAAUCUCCUCGCUCAACGGGGAGAGGCCAUUGGAAACGGUCGGGCUGGAGGGCAGUAGAGGCAGGCGGAAUUCCGGGUGGAGUGGUGAAACGCGUAGAGAUCCGGAGGAACACCAGAGGCGAAGGCGGCCUGCUGGGCUGCACCUGACGCUGAGCCGCGAAAGCCAGGGGAGCGAACGGG